rnacentral:rRNA from 1 species
CGAUCUCGUCUGAUCUCGGAAGCUAAGCAGGGUCGGGCCUGGUUAGUAUCUUGGAUGGGAGACCACCUGGGAAUCCCGGGU